rnacentral:rRNA from 1 species
AAGGCCAAUCAAACCGGGAGAUAGCUGGUUCUCCCCGAAAGCUAUUUAGGUAGCGCCUCGUGAAUUCAUCUCCGGGGGUAGAGCACUGUUUCGGCUAGGGGGCCAUCCCGGCUUACCAACCCGAUGCAAACUGCGAAUACCGGAGAAUGUUAUCACGGGAGACACACGGCGGGUGCUAACGUCCGUCGUGAAGAGGGAAACAACCCAGACCGCCAGCUAAGGUCCCAAAGUCAUGGUUAAGUGGGAAACGAUGUGGGAAGGCCCAGACAGCCAGGAUGUUGGCUUAGAAGCAGCCAUCAUUUAAAGAAAGCGUAAUAGCUCACUGGUCGAGUCGGCCUGCGCGGAAGAUGUAACGGGGCUAAACCAUGCACCGAAGCUGCGGCAGCGAACGUAUCACCCAAGACAACUUUACGGAGUUGACGAUUGACGGAGCGAAGCGACGUCAAAGCGUUCAUUAAAGUCGAGUUGGCUUAGGGAUACGUUCGUUGGGUAGGGGAGCGUUCUGUAAGCCUGUGAAGGUGUGUCGUGAGGCAUGCUGGAGGUAUCAGAAGUGCGAAUGCUGACAUAAGUAACGAUAAAGCGGGUGAAAAGCCCGCUCGCCGGAAGACCAAGGGUUCCUGUCCAACGUUAAUCGGGGCAGGGUGAGUCGACCCCUAAGGCGAGGCCGAAAGGCGUAGUCGAUGGGAAACGGGUUAAUAUUCCCGUACUUGGUGUUACUGCGAAGGGGGGACGGAGAAGGCUAUGUUGGCCGGGCGACGGUUGUCCCGGUUUAAGCGUGUAGGUGUGUGUUCCAGGUAAAUCCGGUUCACUUUAACACUGAGGCGUGACGACGAGGCACUACGGUGCUGAAGCAACAAAUGCCCUGCUUCCAGGAAAAGCCUCUAAGCAUCAGGUAACACGAAAUCGUACCCCAAACCGACACAG